rfam:Kamiti River virus, complete genome
GGCACGAAAGUGUCGGGCAUGACGCACCCGCUCCCCCGAGUCCCCUGAAAAUAGGGUGGGCAAUGCACUCCUGAGUAGGACGGGA